rnacentral:rRNA from 1 species
UAGUCCACGCCCUAAACGAUGCUUACUCGAUAUCUGAUCUUCGGAUUGGGUGUCCAAGGGAAACCGUUAAGUUCUCCGCCUGGGGAGUACGACCGCAAGGUUGAAACUCAAAGGAAUUGACGGGGGCCCGCACAAGCGGUGGAGCAUGUGGUUUAAUUCGAUGCAACGCGAAGAACCUUACCAUCCCUUGACAUCCUCAGAAUGAUCUGUAAUCGAUCAGUGCCUUCGGGAACUGAGUGACAGGUGCUGCACAGCUGUCGUCAGCUCGUGUCGUGAGAUGUUGGGUUAAGUCCCGCAACGAGCGCAACCCCUAUCUAUAGUUGCCAGCACGUAAUGGUGGGAACUCUAUAGAGACUGCCGGUGAUAAGUCGGAGGAAGGUGGGGACGACGUCAAGUCAUCAUGGCCCUUACGGGAUGGGCUACACACGUGCUACAAUGGUGCAUACAGAGGGUUGCCAAGCCGCGAGGUGGAGCUAAUCUCAGAAAGUGC